rnacentral:rRNA from 1 species
UUCCUUUCCCUGAGGAAGGCAGUGGGGUAAUUUUUUGUCANUCAGGGAAGCAUGUUUCCACCGAGCGACCGUGGAUGAUGACGACCUUCCGGGUUGUAAGUCUCUGUCUUUUCGGAAGAACUACUACUUCUCUGAAUAGCAUUGCAUGUCUGACUGUCUCUACCAAAGGAAUCCCUGCCUAAUAUGUGACAGCAGCCGCGGUAAUAAGAGUGCGCGAGCUUCUUUGUUAUACACUGGGCGUAAAGCGCGCGUAGGGGGCAACGAAUUAAGCAGGUGAAAACCCCCGGCUCAUCCGGGGAGGUGCCUCUGAAACUGUUUCUCUAGAGUCCUAGAGGGGGGAGCAGANUUCCCCGUGUAGUGGUGAAAUGUUUAGAUAUUGUGAGGAAUACCCGUGGCGAAGGAGGCUCUCUGGACCCCUUCUGACACUGAGGUGCGAAAACGUGGUGAGCACACANGAUUAUAUACCCCCCGUAGUACACCCCCGUAAAAAGAUGCGCCCUAAGUUGCUGCGGGUUCAGACAUCUUCAGUGCCGAAGUAACGCGUAAGUGCCCCGCCUGGGAUACGUCCC